CUUUUUUUUUGUAAUGUUUCUUUGUGUUCGGCAAACAAGCGUACGGCUCACCUGAUGGUAAGCGAUUACCGUAGCUUAUAGACACCUGCAACACCAGAAGCAUCGCAAGCGCGUUGCCGACCCAAUCCCCAAUCUCCCCAGGAGCUCUGGUCACCUUACUCACCAACAGGAACACAAUACUGCUUGAAAACAGUAUUAUUUAGCUGUGAUCUUCUGUAAGGUCGA
rnacentral:misc_RNA from 1 species